AGCAGCCGCGGUAAUUCCAGCUCCAAUAGCGUAUAUUAAAGUUGCUGCAAGUUAAAAAGCUCGUAGUUGAAUUUCGGGACCAUCAUGUCGGUCGUGCCUCGGUACGUACUGGCAUUGUUGGUUUCUACCUUCUGACGAACCAUGAUGUCAUUUAUUUGGUGUCGUGGGAAAUCAGGACUGUUACUUUGAAAAAUUAGAGUGUUUAAAGCAGGCUCACGCUUGAAUACAUUAGCAUGGAAUAAUGAAAUAGGACGUUUGAUUCUAUUUUGUUGGUUUCUAGGAUCGACGUAAU
rnacentral:rRNA from 1 species